CCUACGGGAGGCAGCAGUGAGGAAUAUUGGUCAAUGGGCGCGAGCCUGAACCAGCCAAGUAGCGUGAAGGAUGACUGCCCUACGGGUUGUAAACUUCUUUUAUAAAGGAAUAAAGUGCGGCACGUGUGCCUUUUUGUAUGUACUUUAUGAAUAAGGAUCGGCUAACUCCGUGCCAGCAGCCGCGGUAAUACGGAGGAUCCGAGCGUUAUCCGGAUUUAUUGGGUUUAAAGGGAGCGUAGACGGGUUGUUAAGUCAGUUGUGAAAGGUUGCGGCUCAACCGUAAAAUUGCAAUUGAUACUGGCAGUCUUGAGUACAGAUGAGGUAGGCGGAAUGCGUGGUGUAGCGGUGAAAUGCUUAGAGAUCACGAAGAACUCCGAUUGCGAAGGCAGCUUACUAAACUGCCACUGACGUUGAUGCUCGAAAGUGUGGGGAUCAAACAGGAUUAGAUACCCCUGUAGUC
rnacentral:rRNA from 1 species